GACGAACGCUGGCGGCGUGCCUAAUACAUGCAAGUCGAACGAGAGCGACCGGUGCUUGCACUGGUCAAUCUAGUGGCGAACGGGUGAGUAACACGUGGGUAACCUGCCCAUCAGAGGGGGAUAACAUCCGGAAACGGAUGCUAAAACCGCAUAGGUCUUCGAACCGCAUGGUUUGAAGAGGAAAAGAGGCGCAAGCUUCUGCUGAUGGAUGGACCCGCGGUGCAUUAGCUAGUUGGUGAGGUAACGGCUCACCAAGGCCGUGAUGCAUAGCCGACCUGAGAGGGUGAUCGGCCACAUUGGGACUGAGACACGGCCCAAACUCCUACGGGAGGCAGCAGUAGGGAAUCUUCCGCAAUGGGCGCAAGUCUGACGGAGCAACGCCGCGUGAGUGAAGAAGGUUUUCGGAUCGUAAAACUCUGUUGUUAGAGAAGAACAAGUGCUAGAGUAACUGUUAGCGCCUUGACGGUAUCUAACCAGAAAGCCACGGCUAACUACGUG
rnacentral:rRNA from 1 species